UUUUUUUUUUUUUUUUGUCUUUUUGUCUUUUUGCCAUUUCUUGGGCCGCUCCCACAGCAGAUGGAUGUUCCCAGGUGCGGCCCUAAAAAGAAACAGAAAGAAAGGAAGGAAGGGAGGGAGGGAGGAAGGAAGGAAGGAGGAAGAAACGAAAGAAAGAUGUGCUUUCCCAGCACCUCUGUCUGCUAAUGAAAGGCCCUCGGUCUGCGCAUUCCGGCAAAACAUAAUUGAAUCUGGCCGGGUGGCCACCCCUCCAGGAGGCCCCUGAGCUGCCAGAGGGAGGACGCAUUUGAAAAAGCCGCCUGUCAGCUCUUUCUGCCUCUUCCCGGCCCAUCUUCUUCCCACUCAGCCCAUGUGGGCUGGGCAGGCAGCAGGGCGGGUGGCCCAGCUCUGAGCUAAACCAACUCCUCAAAGGGCAGGGAGCCUCCACUGGGCCAUUUUUCAGACUUUAAUUCCACUGAGUGGAACUGAAAAUGCCUUCCACUUGCUCAGCCCCUAUUUCCUCUCUGCCCUGGGCAAACACCACCCUCCAAAGAGGGGAGACGACCGGCCGGAAGAAGCCCUGCUGACCGUCAGGAGGCCUGCUGGGGAUGCUAGUGUCUCGCUUGGCAGUCCCUCUGCCCAGAAGCAGCAGCACCCACAGGACGACUUCAUUUCCACCUGGUGAGACCCAGAAGAGUGGAACGACAGGGCCCAAGGCUCUGUGGCCGACCUUCCUGUAGGCCGCGGGCUGUGGUGGCCACACGCUCAGGUUUGAGCCUUGGCUCCGACAGUUGUGAGCUGGUAUCAGUGAGCUCCCUGCACCCCCUCCCCACCCGAAAGAGGACAGAUUCCAGGAGCAUCCGCACGGCACCAUGGCAAGAAUAAACAAGGCCUGGACUGAACCCUUCCCAGCCCCAGGUCCUCAGCAGUAGUAGCUGAUAACUCUCAGCCCAGAACGCCAGGGGCCAGCAUGCGCAGGAUGCUCUUAAAAUUCAGCUGCGAGCAGACCCUGGCACGCCCGUCCUCAGGGAGACUUCCCUGCGUCCCCCAUGCUCUGCUCCCUGGGCGCCCACUCUCUCGGUACAAGUGUUCCUAACUCAGGCGGAACCAUUCUUGCCGAAGACCCCAGGAGGUGGGGCCUAGGUCAGGAGGGAGGGACCUUGCUCAGAGACCAGCCCGAAAGCCUCCUCCUCUUUCUCUGCUCUAGGCGGGGAAGGUCAGAAGCCAAAUGAUGGGUUAAGGGGUGCAGGUAGGAAGGGAGGCAGGGCAGCCAAGGGCCACACCUGAGUCCCCUCCUCUGCCGCAUGGGGACGGGCGCCUUUCCCACCAGCUCCCCCUCCAUCCCAGCUCCAUGGAAACCUGGGAGCACUUCUCCACGUUGGUCCUCAGACCUGCCAGCCGGGCACUGGGCCCCUGCGGGGGAGGAGGGAACCCCAUGCCCCGUCCGGGCUCAGCAGCCGCCGCUCUUGGAGAGUCUGGGAGAGAGUUUGGCCCCAGGCCCUCUUGAGAGAGUUUUCUUUUAUAUUUAUUAACCCACUUUCUCUCUUGGCCUUCGGAGCAAUAAGGAAACCUCAGCCAAGGCUAUUAAUAGGCCGAAGCCGUCCCUGGGGAGGACAAUGAGCUCAGACCUUCAGCGCAGGUGCCAAGCAUAAUAAAGCUUCCCGAGUUGCCUAAAUAUAGGCUGUGGCUGCGUCGGGGCACUGAGCGUGGUCUGCCUGCUGCCACCCAGCCCCGCUCCCCAGGCAGAGCUUUCUGCCACCUGUGCCAGAGCCCGGCCCUGAGGAAAGAACCCGCCACGACCCACACAUCCCCCCCC
ensembl:lncRNA